ensembl:snoRNA SNORD36 Small nucleolar RNA SNORD36
UUGCGAUGAUGUGGAUUUCUCACUGAAUUAAACUCUGAAGUGCGAGUACAUGAGCUUUUUAACCCUGAGCAAU